rnacentral:rRNA from 1 species
GAUGAACGCUGGCGGCGUGCCUAAUACAUGCCAGUCGAGCGAACAGACGAGGAGCUUGCUCCUCUGACGUUAGCGGCGGACGGGUGAGUAACACGUGGAUAACCUACCUAUAAGACUGGGAUAACUUCGGGAAACCGGAGCUAAUACCGGAUAAUAUAUUGAACCGCAUGGUUCAAUAGUGAAAGACGGUUUUGCUGUCACUUAUAGAUGGAUCCGCGCCGCAUUAGCUAGUUGGUAAGGUAACGGCUUACCAAGGCAACGAUGCGUAGCCGACCUGAGAGGGUGAUCGGCCACACUGGAACUGAGACACGGUCCAGACUCCUACGGGAGGCAGCAGUAGGGAAUCUUCCGCAAUGGUCGAAAGCCUGACGGAGCAACGCCGCGUGAGUGAUGAAGGUCUUCGGAUCGUAAAACUCUGUUAUUAGGGAAGAACAAAUGUGUAAGUAACUAUGCACGUCUUGACUGUACCUAAUCAGAAAGCCACGGCUAACUACGUG